CAACCCUCGACGUCCCCUCGGGGAUGUCGGCGUUGGGGACCGGCAGCACACCGCCGCCCCCGAAAUGAAGUGGCGGCCCGUCCGCGGCGACCUCUGCGUAGUAAUCCAACUCGCACCGGGACCCCGACGCGGCCACGCCGUAAAACACCCAACUCUGAA
rnacentral:misc_RNA from 1 species